rnacentral:tRNA from 1 species
AACGUAGCUCAAUGGUAGAGCCCCUGUCUUGUAAACAGGCCGUUGUAGGUUCAAUUCCUAUCGUUG